rnacentral:lncRNA from 1 species
GCUGCAAAUGGGUCGGGUCGACCCAUGACCUGACCCAACCCGACCCGCUUAGACCCGAACCAAUCCAUUUUAAAGGACCUACGGGGCUGGGUCGGGUUCUAAAAUUGGAUCCAUUCAAUAUUUCGGAUCAGAUCUAGAUUUACUGAAUUCCUAUCUGACCCGAUCCGAUCCAAAUUCAGUAUUGAAUCUAACAUGUAAAC